GCAGCAUGUGUGUAUACUGAAGCUGGAAAGACAGAGUGUACCAUGGUCCCUGGACAAGGAUGACACGCAAAUUUGUGAAGCAUUCUGCCUUUUA
rnacentral:snRNA from 1 species